ACAACAUUGGGUUCAGGAAUCAUCAUCACAGGCAGAUGAUGCAAGUAUAAACGUACUGCAUCCUGUGAUGGAGGAUGUACUACUUGAAUCAUCACAAGAGAACCAACUGAUGAGAGAUUUAAAGGAAGCCAGUAAGUGGUG